GAUGAACGCUGGCGGCGUGCUUAACGCAUGCAAGUCGUACGUGAAGGGGUUUUCGGACUCCUGAAAGUGGCGAACGGGUGAGUAAUACGUAGAUGACCUGCCUUAAAGUGGGGGAUAACUACUGGAAACGGUGGCUAAUACCGCAUAGAGCUGUGACCGUUGGGAGGUUGCAGGGAAAGGUCCGGCGCUUAGAGAGGGGUCUACGGCCGAUUAGCUAGUUGGUGGGGUAAAGGCCUACCAAGGCGACGAUCGGUAGCUGGUCUGAGAGGACGAGCAGCCACACGGGAACUGAGACACGGUCCCGACGCCUACGGGGGGCAGCAGCGGCGAAUAUUGGGCAAUGGGCGAAAGCCUGACCCAGCAACGCCGCGUGAAGGAAGAAGGCCUUCGGGUUGUAAACUUCUUUUGUGGGGGAAGAGAGAGGACGGUACCCUGCGAAUAAGUCACGGCUAACUACGUGCCAGCCGCCGCGGUAA
rnacentral:rRNA from 1 species